rnacentral:rRNA from 1 species
UACGGGGGGUGCGAGCGUUGUCCGGAAUCACUGGGCGUAAAGGGCGCGUAGGUGGUUUGAUAAGGGUGUGGUGAAAGCCCGGAGCUCAACUCCGGGUCUGCCGUGCCGACUGUCAAACUCGAGGGCUGUAGAGGCAGACGGAAUUCCGGGUGUAGCGGUGGAAUGCGUAGAGAUCCGGAGGAAGACCGGUGGCGAAGGCGGUCUGCUGGGCAGUUUCUGACACUGAGGCGCGACAGCGUGGGGAGCAAACAGG